UCCGGGAGGCGCGGGGCGCGCCAGGUGCGGGGCAGCUCCUUGCACUGACGGAGGCCGACUCUGAGGAAAAGUUUUUCUGGCGCUGUCAAGGGUCAGUUUCUCGGGGGGGCCGUUCUGGAUCCCAGAGGUGGGGACUCCAGCGAGUCCGAGUGCGGGUUCCGCUGACAUCACGACCAGCACAUCACCGGGUGUCAUCUGGUGUAGUUCACACGAAGACUGACCGUCUUUACUGCAGCCUCUGCACGUUCGGCCUUCAGCCUGGAGACAGCUCAGCGAGGGGGUGAAAGAACUUCAUUUUUAAGUCAUGAGUGGUUGAAACUCAAGAGGAAAAGAAUGAUCCAGUCAUCAUGGUGAAAAAUGCUGUUUCCAGAGGGAGCUCAGUGUCUAAAAGCAGCAGAAGUCCCCCACGAGUUCCCUGGAAGGACUCACAUAUAGCUGAGUGCCUACCACAUAACCAAAAACGACUGAUAUUCAAGCAAAUACCAGAUGCUUCAGAUAACAGCUUCAGAAAUUUAAUUAACUUUAAAGAAGCACUCGGGGCCAUCGCUGUGGUACAGUGGGUUAAAAGCUCUGGCCUGAAGCUCUGGCAUCCCAUGUAGGCGCCCGUUCUAGUCCCAGCUGCUCCUCUUCCAAUCAAGCUCUCUGCUAUGGCCUGGGAAAGCAGUGGAGGAUGGCCCAAGUGCUUGGGUCCCUGCACCCACCUGGGAGACCUGGAGGAGGCUCCUGGCUCCCCUUCGGAUCAGCGCCAUUCUGGCCAUUGCGGCCCUCUGGGGAGUGAACCAGUGGAUGGAGGACCUCUCUCUCUGUCUCUA